rnacentral:tRNA from 2 species
GCCCGGUUAGCUCAGAUGGUAGAGCAUCAGACGUUUAAUCUGAGGGUCAUGGGUUCGAGCCCCAUAUCGGGCG